rnacentral:tRNA from 1 species
AGAGGCUUAGGUUAACAUUAGACCAAGGGCCUUCAAAGCCCUAAGCGAGAGUGAGAAUCCCUCAGCCCCUG